CAAUAGCGUAUAUUUAAGUUGUUGCAGUUAAAAAGCUCGUAGUUGGAUUUCUGGAGGGAGCGUCGGCCCGUAUUUAUGAGUGCGUGACGUCUCUGUCCAUCCUUGCGGGAAGGCACGGCAUUGAUUUGUUGUGUCGGAUCGCAUCAUUUACUGUGAAAAAAUUAGAGUGUUCAAAGCAGGCUUUCGCUUGAAUACAUUAGCAUGGAAUAAUAAGAUAGGACUUUGGUGCUAUUUUGUUGGUUGAGCCUAAAGUAAUGAUUAAUAGGGAUAGUUGGGGGCACCUGUAUUGCGUUGUCAGAGGUGAAAUUCUUGGAUUUACGCAAGACAAACAGCUGCGAAAGCGUCUGCCAAGGAUGUUUUCAUUAA
rnacentral:rRNA from 1 species